CUCUCCAAAUAGCACACACGCACAACCCACUUCGCACACAACAAACCCUCUUCCCUCCAGAAGCACACACGCAUAACCCUCACCUUCACCAUUUUCACCUUUCUCCACUCACCACUCACCACUCACUACUUCCCCUUCACCACCACUCGUCGCUACCAUGCUCCUCAUCUACUUCACUUGCGUUUACCUACCACUGUACUCAUUGUCACCACACCUUCGUAGUCUCUGCUCUCAUCAUCGCCGGUCAUCGUCGUCGUAUCUGCGCUUACUGUCGCUGCUCAACCUCGUUGUCUCUGCGCUCACCAUUUCCUCUCACCAUUUUUCUAUUCUCUGAUUUAAUUUAUUACAUUUUAGUUAGAUUCUAAUUUUUACUUAGUAAUUUUAUUUAGUCAAACUAGUUUUUGCUUAUUAGGUUAAUUUAGAUUAAAAUUAGGAUUCUCUUAUCAGCAUUUAUCUUAGUUCAUAGGUAAUUAAGCAUGCUAUUAUGUUUCUUGGGUCUGGAAUUUCAAUUUGUUUAGACUAGCUUGAUUGAUUUUCUAUUGAAUUUCAAGUUCUCCAUGGCUUCUCCACUAAGGUGCACUUCUGGACGCUGGUAGUUACUGAUUUCACAAUCUCUGGUUCUCCACGCUGAUUCUAGUAUUUUCCCUUUGAUUUCUUAAUUUUCAAUGUAAAUUAUAGAAUGAUUAAUUUUCGUAAUUCGCUGAGUUAAUUAGUUCAUAGAGAAUUGAUUAUUAUUUUUUAUUUGUUUCUUCUGUUGACCACUUUGAUUGAGUUAACUAGUUCAUAGAGAAAAAUGUAAAUUUUACCCUCUUUGUUGGACAUACAGCGGUUCUUACUUUCACUGGGUAAGGUUACCCAAUUUGCAAUCUUGCAGUGACAAUUUAGACUCAAAUAGUGUGCUUGAAAAUUCUUUAAAUGCUAAGAAGAAGCAAAUCUCGGAACUGAACAUGGAGCUACAUAAUAUUGAAACAACCUUAUCAAAUGAAAGAGAAGAACAUAAUGAUGUCAAGAAACUUACUGCAAUGCUCAAGGAAAAGGUUAUUUUUAGUAAGUUGAAGUCUUCUAAAUACAGGAGGCUGCUCUUGAAACAAUGAAGAAAAAGCUUCUAGCAAGGCCAAUAGAAAAAAUGGUAGAUGGCUUGCGUAAGAAAGUUAUGGGAUAUAAUUCAAUUGAGGCCGAAGACUGGGAAGUGGCUACGAGUAUUGAGGAAAUGAACAGGAUGGAGUCUCUUCUGCUUGUUAAGAAGUUAAGAACUGUAAAAUAAAUGAAGCACGAGCUAACACAGUUGAAGGUCACAUUUUCUGAGAAAACAUCCAUACUGAAAAUAGCAGAACAGAAGAUAAUAGAGAACUUACAACAAUGAUUAAUGAGCAACAGAAGUUGAUAUAGAAGUUGAAAGAUGAUAUAUUAAAG